rnacentral:rRNA from 1 species
UACCCGCAGCUCAAGUGGUGGUCAUUAUUAUUGGGCCUAAAGCGUCCGUAGCUGGCCUGUUAAAUGCCUGGGUAAAUCGAUGCGCUCAACGUAUCGAACUCCGGGUAGACCGGCAGGCUCGAGACCGGGAGAGGUGUAGGCUACUCGCGGGGUAGGGGUAAAAUCCUGUAAUCCUGCGGGGAGGACCAGUGGCGAAGGCGCUACACUAGAACGGCUCUGACAGUGAGGGACGAAGCCCUGGGGCGCAAACCCGG